CCCGGGGUUGGCUUGGCUGGUGACAGCAGGGGGGCAAGAGGCAGACAGGGGACGGCUAAGGCACGGAGCGGUCCAGAGGGGUAUAGCGCAGCAAGACGGAACAGAGGGUCAUCAGGCAGCGGGCGGGAGCGCAGCGCUUCCCCGGGUUUUCCUAUACGACCGGGAAAGGGACAAUGACAGGCGAGGCUGGUAGUUAGGGGAG